rnacentral:rRNA from 1 species
AGCGAACGCUGGCGGCAGGCCUAACACAUGCAAGUCGAACGAAGUCUUCGGACUUAGUGGCGGACGGGUGAGUAACACGUGGGAACGUGCCUUUAGGUUCGGAAUAACUCAGGGAAACUUGUGCUAAUACCGAAUGUGCCCUUCGGGGGAAAGAUUUAUCGCCUUUAGAGCGGCCCGCGUCUGAUUAGCUAGUUGGUGAGGUAAAGGCUCACCAAGGCUACGAUCAGUAGCUGGUCUGAGAGGAUGACCAGCCACAUUGGGACUGAGAGACGGCCCAAACUCCUACGGGAGGCAGCAGUGGGGAAUCUUGCGCAAUGGGCGAAAGCCUGACGCAGCCAUGCCGCGUGGAUGAUGAAGGUCUUAGGAUUGUAAAAUCCUUUCACCGGUGAAGAUAAUGACUGUAGCCGGAGAAGAAGCCCCGGCUAACUUCGUGCCAGCCGCCGCAGUAACAC